UACGUAGGGACCAAGCGUUGUUCGGAUUUACUGGGCGUAAAGGGCGCGUAGGCGGCAAUUCAAGUCAUCUGUGAAAUCUCUGGGCUUAACCCAGAACGGCCAGAUGAUACUGCUUUGCUAGAGUGCAGAAGGGGCAAUCGGAAUUCCUGGUGUAGCGGUGAAAUGCGCAGAUAUCAGGAGGAACACCGGUGGCGAAGGCGGUUCUCUGGGCAUUACCUGACGCUGAGGAGCGAAAGUGUGGGGAGCGAACAGG
rnacentral:rRNA from 1 species